rnacentral:tRNA from 1 species
GAGAAAGAAGCAUAGGUGGUUUGAUAUGCAGUUGGCUUGAAACCAGCGUAUGAGGGUUCGAUUCCUU